GCAUGGAGUGGGUGGAGAAGGUGGGUGGCUGAGAUGAAGUGGCCUCCUUUCUCGGCCUCAUCUGGCUCUGUGAAGUUGCUGCUGCCUGCUGUGUGCAAUGGUGACCAGGACUGAGACUGAUGUUGCAUCACCGGAUAGCACACGAGACGUCCUUUGGGUAUCCUGCCCACCUUCCUAGGUUUGUUUUCUUUACAGCAAAGCACACCCCCCUUCUGCGAACUGGCCCUGGGGAGAGAGCAAGUGGUCUGGCUUUGUGAGGAAUACAAGGGAAAUGGGGAAAGAAAAGAAUCAGCCAACAAAAGAAAUUAUUUCCUGGAGGUAUGCAAAAUGAGAAGACACGCCAUCAAUCUACGUAAUUCUUUGUUUUGAUGUGUGAUUGUAGACGGGGCUACAAAGGAGAGCUUC